AUUUAAUUAAAGAAAAAGAGAUAAAGAUCGAUUAAACUCCACCGCUUUUAGGAAAACAUAUAGAACUGGCUUGGUGUUGUUUCAUGGGAAACCGGGGGCAGAAAAGGACUGAAAAUGUUGAUGAACUGCCUGCCGAUAAGCGACCCUGUAGCUCAACCAAUGACAGGCCUAGUACUUCCAACUCAGUGAUUCCUACUACAAUGAGUUCCAUACACGAAAGUCACCAUGGUGAUAUAGACACAUCUUCAUCAUCA
rnacentral:misc_RNA from 1 species